CGGACUCCACAGCAUUUGCUUGGCACCCGCUGUGUACGCAGAGUGCCGGAGAAGUUGGGCGUUGAUGGGGGAGACUCGGGCAGAGGACGCGCACCCUCCCUGGCCCACUCACAGGCCCCUGGAGGGGCCCCCACAACAGCCCCCCAGCCACCCCCAACCUGGCCUCCAGCAUCUCUCUCUGCCGAGUCCUUGCCUCUCCCCCGAGGAGAGCGGAGCCUCCAAUCAGGGCCUGGGAAAGCAAUUUUUCAAUCUCCAACUGCAAACACUAAUACCGCUGAAGCUAAUUUUACAGAUUUCCACUUCGAGGCCUUGCCUUUGUCCCAGAAUCCCUCAGCCCGGGAGAUUAGCAGUUUAGAGACUGGAAAAAAUAAGGGAGACGUCAAAGCCGCCAGGACCAGUCAAAGUAAUAUGCCUGCGACCGGCACAUGGACUUUUAUUUCUUCUCCCUCCACGCUCCAGAGCUGCUCCUGCGGCGUGGAGAGAUAAAUAUUUUAAAUAGCGACACUUUGGCGAUGCACGGUUAUGCAAGACAAGGAAUAAUUAGAAAAUAAAUUACUUUUUUUAAACACA